CGUCAACAAGGCCUCAUGGACGUCAACCCAUAGUUAGCGAGAAGGCUAGUCAACUUGGUCCACAGCAAAUUGCUGACCGAGGAGAAAAACCCUUCCAUGUUGAUGUUCAAAAUUGCUCUGUGGUGGAAGUCUUCCCCAAAGAUGACAAUGAUAUCUGUGAUGUGGCAGUGAACAAUGUUUCUGUUGGCAGCUGCGUUUUUAGACAUGAAGCAGAAAUCAGAGAUCCCAAAUUCAUGGAAUUGUAUAGUAUAUUCCUCACAGAAAGGGGAAGUUGUAUAUUUAUAAUACAUCGUUGCAUUGGAACCCAGCUGAAUGUGAACAUAUCAUCUACCAAGGGAUAUAAAAUGCCACACUUGAUGGGAAAGCCUACCCACUCCUCAAUGACUCUGUCAACUUGAAUUAUACUGUGAGAGCUCCUCAUGGUGCACAAGAAGUGGAUCCCGAAACUGACGUUCCUCUUAACAGGUCAACAGAGACAGAUACAGACACCAACGAAAAAGAAUCGGAAGUGCAAGACAACGGAUUGCCAGCGUGGGCUAUUGUCCUUAUAGUGAUUGCAGUCAUCCUGAUUGUUGCAAUCCCGAUUGCAGUAAUUGUAUGGAAUCAUUUCAAAC